GAGAGAGAGAGAGAGAGCGCAUUCACAGUAUUCAGAGGAAUCAGUACUUAAUAGUAAACCUGCUGGUUAACAGUGGCUCACAAACUACAUUUGACCUAUGGGUUCUGUUUAUCAAUGGAUCUAGUCAGUAAACACUGAAGUAGUAUGCAUUAGGCAUCAAUGAAAAUUCCCUGAAGCUUUUUCCUAGUACUGCUAUAACAUGAUACUGCAAGAAUGUAGCCCCCCCGAAGCACCCAGCGCCUGCCUGCAAGGCUCAGCUUCAAGUCUUUCCUGUUCUCCUACCUGUAACACUCGGGACGGGGGUGUCUAGGAAAGAGAGGCGGUCUUCAAAAUGUACCACUAUAGGGGAUUUCUUUAGAAAGAAGCAUGCAUGUUAUUAAAUUUCUUGCUGGAGAGAUGGCUCAGCUAUUAAGGGCACCUACCGCUCCCGCAGAGGGUCUGGGUUCGGUUCCCAGUACCCACACCAGGGCAGCUCACUAAUGCCUCUAACUCCAACUCUAGGGGAGCUGACACCUCUGCUGGCUUGGCGGGGUUACUUUCUGCUGGGCUUCCUGUAAGAGACAGCUCUUUUCCGUCUGCUCUGCAGUGCCCUUAAGUCCUUCAGAGAACGGCUGCUUAGUUACCUCUGAGUGGCUGAGUCUGUCUCCUGAAAACCGUAUGGCUUCUCAGGCUCAUUCCAGGUCAGCUAAGAGAAUGCAAGAAGUCAAGUGUGACAACUGCCAGGCUGCCAGGUAGGGGACUUUCAGUUCCAGUCCUUCAACCUAUACGUAGAUCACAGUCGACUUGCAAACCUCCAGUUAUAUGAAGAAGGUUACAUGUCAGCAAAAAAGCUCUCUAUGGCACUGGGAAAAACAGGGCCAUGACAAAGCAUGGUAAAACUUCAGGGGGCCAGGGGUCUUCUGAAGGCAAGCUUUGCAUUCUCCGGGUAUGGCCACCACAUAUUAGACAGUAAAACAUAGAAUGCCAACAUGCCAGUGGGCUGCACAGAACAAACGUGGCAUGAACUCCAGUAGUUCUCUAAUGAGAAGCAAAAACAAAGUAUAAAAUGAUGCUAACUCUAUUAAACAAUGUGGGCAUUGCUAUGAUACCGAGAAAAAUGAGUACAGGACACGGGACUCCUACAAUGCUAGUUUAACCCUCUCUAUAAUUUAUGAAUGCUCAGAAAGCCGCCACUGUGAGAAGCUGUGCCCCGUUUACUGGGCUGUGUGGAGCAGUAGCUCUCCCAGAAUGCUCACUUUUGUUAAAACGCUCAUGCCACAUUCUCUUUAGGUGGCUUUAUUUUAGGAGCGGUGAGGAUUCUCUUCUCUCUGAAGGGGUGGCGUGAAUACAUAGGUAAUUUUGUAAACCAUGUGUGAAGAAUUUGAGCAGCUGACAGAUACUUAGAAACCAUUCAGGAUUAACAAUACUGUCAGAAAGAAUGUUAGGAAAAGAAGCGGAAGUGUGGGAUGUGAUGGUUGAUCUGCAGGGUCAGCUGGACUGGAGUGACCAUCACCAGGGAAAUAUACUUCUAGGUCUCUGUAAGGGCAUCUCUCAAGACCUUUCAUGAGGAGGAAGAGCACUCUGAAAGCUGGUGGUGCCGUUCUAUGGGCUAGGGUCCUUGGCUGAAGGAAAAGGGAGGGGAGAGAACAGGAGGACCCCUCUUUCCAUUUCUCGGUUGCAGCCAUGAUUGUUCUACUUCAUGGGCCCUAGGCUGUUCCUUUCACUUGAGAACCUGGACGCCCAAAGCCAAGAAAUAGUUGAAAAGUGAGACUAAUUAAACGACACAAUAUUUAACUAGCUAAUCCAAGAGCCAGGGACUCAGACAAACCACAGUGUCUUGGAUUUGUUAUGUAUUUCAGUUUGCUAUUGAUGGUGUCAGUGUUCCCCCAUCAGCUAAUAGAUCCCAUGUUCAAAACUGUAGAGGGGAAAAAAAAACACCUAUAGAUGUUUCAUUGGCAAUUUGUAUGCUAAAGAUGAUGUGAGUGUUUGGACACACUGGGAAAGAUAUGUAGACCUCCCCACCCACAAACACGUAUAUUCAUAGACGCAUAGCUGUAAACUCUGUUGGCUCCUGGCUCCCGUUCUUGUAGCCCUUGAUAAACAGGAGAGUUAUAAUCAUAUAAAAGGUCUUUAUAGGAGUGAAACUCUUUCAACAUUGGAUCGCUUUAUAUCGUUGUGAGACAGUGGUUUAGGAGGAAAAAAAGAAGGAAAUUCCAAGAUGUGAAUGGUAUUUAGACCUCUUAAUUUUUUUUUCCUUCAAAGGAAGAGAUAAAAAAAAAAAAAAAGAACAAAAUCAUGUUUUCCUAUCCAGCGCAAUGGCAUGCAGAAGGACCAUGGGCAAGAAAGUAACGUUGCAAAGACUAAAUUGAAGAGCCCAGUGCCUCUUGCCCCUUUCAGGGAACAUGUGGGUCUAAAAGAAGGAAAAUCCAGUAUAAAAACAAAACAAAACAAACAAACAAACAAACAAAAAACCACCACCACAACAACAACAAAACAAAAAACAAAAGCAUUUUUGUUUGAUGCUGAACAAAAAGCAAGCUUGAAAAUUUGGGGCUGCCGCACAAGUGAAUGAAGAAGACCGAUGUCUCUCCCUCCAGCGCAGCUCAGACCCACCAUCUCAGGGGCCUCAUGCUAACUCUGCACGAGGAUGCUAGGUAUCAAAACACCCAGUUAACAGCAAAGCUCGCCAGUAAACCUUCCUUUUCUCAAAGCCUUAAACAAAUAGUGAUGCCUUGUUCAAUGUCACCUUUCUUGCCCUUCCCAAGUUUCAAAAUUCAAGGUGAUACAUAAGAUUUAUGCCGUUAGAAAAAAAAAGAUAUUGAUUAUUUCACAUAUAGAACUUUGGUCGCCUUUUCCUUUCCCAAAGUCAGUUUCUGUUAUUGAUUUUUCCCAAAGGUUAGGAACAAUAUAUCAAGGAAAUAUUACCUAAUACUUGGGGCUUGCAUAGGAAACUUGCAUUUCCGCUUUUCAUUCUUUGAGAGGAGGAAAUAGGCUAUUUAGUUAUUUCGGAGGCACAGAGUCUGCAAAGGGGCUGGCAGGAGGAGAGACAGUCAGGGUACCUCUUCAGGCUGAGUGUCACGGACUGUGUAAUUUCAGCAGGCAAAAGCAGAGAGAGCUUAUACGAGCGCUGGCUCCUCCAAGCUCUCUCCUCUGCACCCAUUAGAGUUGGAAGUGAGCCAGGCCUGCAGAAGGGCAGGUGUGGGCACAUUUUUCAGUCUUUUGUAGACAGUCCCAGAAGGACUGGGGUGGUGGUGUUGGCCAUGUCCUUUGACUUAACUCCAGGAGUGAGGAGGAGCAAACCGGAGAACCCUGUCUAGAGGUCAGUAGACCCCUUUCAGAGAUUUAUUUACAAACCAAGGAAGAGUGAAGAUAGAUUACUUCCUACUGUCCAGCCACAGGAAAGACACAUCUGUGCAGACAUAAGACAUACAUCAGAGAACAAAGGAGCUCCUGGAGGCACCUCUUUCUUAGAAGCAUCCAACUAUGUCAGGACUCAUACACAAUACCGUGGGCUCCGAAAAUGGCCUCUGCCGGUUUAGCUUCUCUGAACUGUCACCCCCGUCCAUCUUUCGAGAUUUUCUUUCACCUAUGGACCAUAGAACAAUUUCUGUUUCCUACCCAAACACCUUACACUUUGGUGCAUGCUACGUCCCGACACUUCACCAAAGUUCAUUUAAUGGAUCAGCGACUUACUGAGGCAAGGGCAGCCAGCCAGUUUAGCCAGCGGCUCAGUGACUUGAUUGAAUAGUCUCCUCCAAGUCAACUUUCAACUGAGUUUUGUAUAAAAUGGACUAGAAGCAGGCAUUCCUCAGAGUGCUUGACAGAAAUGGCUUGAAAUACCUUGAAGAUUUAUUUCCCAGUGUGGAUUAGCUACUUCAAUAUACAUCCUUUUAGAAAGAUCUAAUUGAAAUAGAUUUUGUUUUUACAAAAGAAAAAGAAAGAACGAAAGAAAAAGGAAAGAAAAGAAAAUCAAACCAAGAGCUCACGCAUGGCUGGCCUUUCCUCCCCACCAUCCACCCGGGAGCCAGACCAUCCACUCCCGCUCCUGUGGAGUUCUCGCAGGUUGCCUGAUGUGUUUAUCAGUGCACAAAUGUGUUGACGCUCUGGCCUCACCAGGCACAAGAGAAAUAAAGGAAGAAAAGUCCAGACAAGACAGGGGCAGACAAGUACACAGCACAGGAGAGCGCCUCCUAUGGGACAAGAGAGAUGCUACGAGGAAGUGGCACCUUCACCUCUGCUUCUCAGGGUAUUUACAGUCAACUAGAAGACCAAGAACCAGAAGAGAGGAGGCUGUGCACAAAUCCCAUAUGUAAGCCAUGAGAACAAAAAUUUAAAGUGGCGGUAAAGACCAAAGGCACUUAAAUGCAUGGCCAAGACAUUCAAAGGAAUGAGACACAGAGAGCCGAACAGGAAACACUGUCUAUGAGACGGCCCAUGCCACAGGCUGACUUGGGGGCACAGCCCUCUGUGGUGCUGGUCACUUGGGAGCAAGGUUAACUCCAGGGUGGACACAUUCUUACACAGAAGCAGUAUGAAGGCUAGGUUCUCCGAGCCCAAACAGUGUUUUUAUAUUACAUCAUAUUUCACUAUAAAAAUAGAGCAAGUUCUUCUAAAACUAUAACAAAUUUUAGGCAAAAUUUUACCUCAUGUUUUAAUCUGGCUUUUUUAAAAACGCCUCUAUAAAGUAAAGCAUUUCACUUCCUUUAAUCACUCUAUCUGCAGGCUGUAGACAUAGCAUCAGUUUCGCUUAAGAUCAUUAAGAAUCGAGACACUGGGUAACGGGGUAGCAGGCGCUAACUGGACUGCUGAAAUGGCGCUUAGACCUUGAUACCACCUAGAAAGAUAGGAAAGAUAGGAGCGAGAUUGGAAAUUGUAUUGGAAAGAACUGCGUUAUUACUAUCCAGAGCAGCUGUUUAAUCCCAUGCCUACCCUGUCCCAGAACCACUGGGCCACAGCAUGAUAGUUACCUAGUAACAUCCUGAGGGGGCAGGGGACAGAAAAUAAGAAUGUGUCCAAUAAAUUCCUAUUAAUAACCAAUUUCCCUAAACGUUGUCUUGAGUUGCUACUUUAAUUUUCUGCCCUUCUUCCCAAACUACUGUCACUCACAAAGAACUCACCAAAGUAAAGACUUCUGGGGGCUUCCACGGAGAGAUACAGAGGUUCUUCUUUUAGUUUUGGUAGUAUCCCCACCCCGAGGUUAUUAAGUGCCGAGCGGUAACUGGGAUAAGAACUCUAGGGCUCAGGACUCCCGGAUGUGGAUCUCUCUUUUCCUGAGAACAGAGUCCUGGCACUUGCUUUCCCAUUCAGACCCUGCUCCUGCCUCAGUAGCCUCACAGGAAAGUGCUAGUUAACACUGCCUGGGUUCUGGCGUGUUUUAGUUCAUCAGCGAUUGCGAGAGAAACUCAAGUUGACAAGAUCCCUGAUCUUUAAUGCACCCAGCCAUCACAACACUCUCAUCUGAUGUUGGUCAACUGGACUGGCUUUUAGACAAUGGAUUUUCAUCCUAAGCCUAUAAUACCUUAUAGAUAGGAUUUUCUGCCUUCAAAGAACCUACAGUAUAAACAAAAGAGAACAUAAAGCCCUUACUCUACAGAACUGGAUGUCUAACACAGUUUGUCAUUUUGGGUCUUCUUGAAUGCCCUUGUCCUUUUCCCAUACUCCCCCUUAGCCAGUACCACCAACAAAAUCAACAUCAAACAAAAUAGCCUCCAAGAACUGGAUUUUUCUUUUUUAGUUGAACCACCUCGCAACUCUGAAUCGAAAUGCAAAUGGGCGCCUUGAGUUGCCUUCCCAUUGAAAUAUAAUAAGCCUAACCAUCCGUAUCUCCCCAAGAGGGUUCUGCUUAUACUUUUCCUGCAAAUGCCGCAGAGACCACUAAUAAUAGCUCAGAGGUGGACGUAAACCCUCUGUAAUGGCUCGCUGAGCUUCGGUGGGCCCACUUGUGUAGGAAAGGUCUUUUGAGGGCUCGUGUAAGACAGCAACAAGUCGGCAAGAGGCUAUCUUCAGAGGCACUGACCCCUGUCUCCCACCCCAACCCCCUGACAGCCCACUGGCCUCUCUCACAAGACUUCCCUCUAGCCAUGGUUACAUGUGACCUCAUGGCGACUUCCUGACAUGAGUUUAGCCUCAGGCUAAUGUCUAAAGAGUUCAGUCACUAUAAAAACUGGUUUAUUGGAUGCAAAAGAGAAUUAGGACUUCAAAGCCUCUCACCCUGUCAAAUUAGAUUAACAUAUGGAGCAGCGGCUAGGCUAUGACUGGUAUUCGUAGCAUAAGCUAUUUGGUAAGGCUCCGGCUGAGGGUCACAAACAGCUUGUUCACGGUCUUAAGUGAACCACUGCUGCGGUGGUACAGUUUCUCAAAUGAGUGUCACAUGACGUGGGAAACGCAUAUACUGAAACAGGAAAUGUAAAAGGUCAAAUGCCAAGUUCUGCGUAAGGUGAAAUUCAGAUUUUUCUGAAGGAGUUAGGCUCCCUAUUGCACAGAGUAAAACCAAGUUCUUCACAGCUGAGAAGUGGAUGUUAAAAUAUUAUCUCUGACUUCCUUUGAGCAGUAGGUUUAAGAGAAAAUUACAUUUUAAUCCAGGUUAUUUUUUUUUUUAUGAAUCAUCCAAGGAAAGUGGACUUUCAAUGAAAAAUACUCCAGCGAUAAAUAUGAGUGUUAAAAGUUCUGUGUGUGAAUAGGGAUAAAAGCAAAUAUGUCCACCCACGUUAUUGACUCUCUGCGGAUAUUCUAGGAACAAGAGCAGUCAAGGGCCAGGACGCUCACUAGACAUACUGGGUAGUGGCUUUGAAAUGAAACACUUUACGACUUACCAUUUAUUUAUUCGUUUCCUCUAUUUUUUCAGGUUAGAAAGCUGUGCUAACGUGUAAGCAAUGCUUACAUCAGUGAUAAUAUUCUGUUUCCGGGUUUUGUUUCUAAAAACAAAUAGUUCAAAAAUAGAGCAUGGUGCCAGAAAGCUUUUUUUUUUUUUUUUUUUUUUUUUUUUUUUUUUUUUUUUUUUUUUAAGGUAAAUAAAGGCUUUGGCACACAGACCAAAGCCUGAGAAACAGACGGUGUCCAAGGACUUUAUACAAACCAAAUGAGCAAUGCUGUUUGGUCUAAUUGAAUAUUGCAUACAUCUAAGUUCUAGUCAUUUUAUCAUCUUAUUCCCCACACCAUCAGAAAGCCAAUUCUGUAAGAAAUAGUAGGACGUACAUGUCAAAGUCUGCUAUAUGAGAUGGUUCAUCUGCAGCUGAGGUAGAGGAUGCUAUACACCAAACCUCAAGGCCUCACACAUGCUAGACAGGCAGGUGCUCUGCCACUGACUACAUCACCACCCUAUCUGUAAUUUAAAAACAAUGCUAUUUUAGUUCAUAAUUUGUCCAGAAAAAACAGCUGACUUGGCUACAGAGUUAUAUGUAUUAAAAAUGUUUACAAGUUCUAAUACGAGUCAUCAAAUGUCACCAGACUAGCAGAUAAAGCUAAUCCCCAACAUAUCACAAUGAUGACUGAAAGUUUUUAACAGAUGGCAUCAUUUAGAAUCCUUUGAGCAACCAGCUAGUCAUGGUCAGAUGAUCCUCUCUGUACCUUGUUUUACCUAACAUUUGACUAGAAAACCAGUUACCGAAUGGAGUGCUGGGGCUGGCCCUGUUGUCUUGAUUCUAGAUGCUCCUGACUAGACACUUAGCAUGAAGGCACAACCAUACAUUGAAAGAGAAGAUUUGACUGGGGAGCUGUGAUUGACACCAGAAGUCCUUUUAAAUGGGAUGCCCCACAGCCGGCAGCACUCAGGUGUGAAUACAGGUGCUGAGGUCUGGGUGUCAUGUAAGUGUGCUUGGAGCAUUGCUUCACAAGACCAUCUGACUUGCAGGACCACGGCACUCCACAAAACAUAGGUAUGUGGUUUUGAAUGACUACCAUCGACAGUUUGCACAGGGACAGAAGUUGAGGGAGAAGUCGGAUCCUUCUUAGGGCACUCUGUGCUUUAAAUGAUUAAACAGCAUAGCAUUGAGAUGUACGUCCAAAAAAAAAAAAAAAAUCGGUUGUGUGAGAGGAGACGCAAGCACGGUUCUCUGCAUCCGAUGUAAGGAGAUGCAGACACACAGAGCUGUCCCCUCCACUUCCUCACCUCGGAGCAGCUGCUCUCACACGGCACUGUCUCCUGCAGGAAAGAGAUCUGGCCACCCGGCUGCCACUUGGGUUUGUUCUCACACUUGUUGAAAAGCAUUUCCCCGGGCUCAAUGUGUACUCAGCGAUAACAUACAAAGGAGUAUCAUUUUUUUGUUGUUUUCUUUUGAAGAGGUUUCGGGGUUAAAUUCUUUGCGAGAAAGAUUUUUUUUUUCUUAAAGUCAGAAUGAUGGAAACUUGGGUCUCCCCUCUGUGAUAUUUUACUAGUAAGAAGCUGUGCUGGUAUUGUUUCUACAGGAAAAUGUAGAUGUUAGAAUCUCGCACACGAAGCUCUUUAAAAGUUCGGUUUUGAAGACUAGAGCCUGUGUAGAAUGCAGCCUGUGGCAGCUGCUUUGCCUUAUCAUCCUGUCCUAUGGGAUCUAUAACCUCGGAUCCCACCGCCUUCACGGCGUCUUCCUUCUCUUAACAAACUGGUAUCUGGGAUCUUGCCAUGUAUUUGGAACGGGGGAAAACAAAGCAAAACAAUAGAGGACAAACCAACCACCUUUAAAGUCCGCUGAUCCACAUUACAAAUGAGCAUUUGAGAUUGAUCUACAAGCAAAAACUGUGCCUGGACCGUGUGGACACAAGGCAGAGUCCGAUGAAGAUGAAUGCUCGCCAUUGGUGGCACUCCAGAGGCCGAGGCAGGAGGAUCGGGGAUUUGAAGUUAGUCUGGCUAGAUAGUGGGAUCCCAUUUGAAAUAGAAAAGAAACAAAGUAAACAAAGUAUCAGGAAACUGAUACUUCUUUUUAUGAAAAGUUAAUUAGGGUCGAUUUGUGCUGUUCUUGAAAUAUGACUUUGGAGACCUCCUAUAAAAUACUUGGCUUCAUAGCCAGUAUAUUUCUGACGUCAUUUCAGGUAGGUUUUCCUACAUGAGAAUAGGUUUGUGGAGCUGCUCCCACCCAAACACACAACACACACACACACACAUAUAUAUGCACCUGUGUGUUCUAGUAUGCAUACUGUACACUCAUGUGUAUGUGUGUGCACUGUGUGCACCCAUGUAUGUUUGCCGGCUCACGAGCAUGGUUUUUAUUCUGCUUCAAAGGCUCUGCUGGGGUCCUGAGAACAAAAGCUAGAGCCAACCAGAGCUCUGAAGGAUUUAUGGACCCAGGUCAGAGGCUCCCAUUGUCUUCUAUUAUCUAGUGAAUGUGUAACACCUGUCUCUCCGGGAGGAAACAGAAAUGUGUGUGCACAUAAACAUAUUUAUGCCAAGUAUAUUUUAAGUUUUAUAAGGGGGUGCAAGCAUUUUAUACAUAGAAAAGCAUAAUACUUGGUAAAUUCUGGAUGCAUGUGGCAUUAGUGUUAACUGCUAUGUUCGUGGAAUUUGCUAUUAAUUUUCCAUAAUCCCAUUACCAAUAAUAAUAAUAUAAAUUGUACCACAAACAAAAUAUUUGAUAUUCAAAUCAACAAAAAACAAAUAUCUCAUCUCAUUAACAAAUUAGUAAAAUUCCAACAUAGAUUAGAGCUGACAAUUUUGCAAUUAACACAUACAUAAGACCAAACAGGAAAAAAAAAAACUCCAAAAAAAAAAAAGCUAUUAAGUCAAGUCAGCACUUUACUAACUCAUAAAUUCUGUGAUUCCUUCUCCAAAUUACAGCAGAGUUUUGGAUCAUUCAAAGAAUACAAAGGGGUGGUGAGAAAUGGACAGCAACACUGCCACAUACAGUGUCUUCUCCAGACAGAAGUAACAAACAACAAACCCUCAGACCAUAACUGGGAGUAAAGCAGAAGAAACACACUUUGAAACAAUGAGCUUUGCCCUAUUGCUUUCAUAUUUAGCCUGAUUUUAUUAUAAAUUUAUGUUAAUUUGUGAAUAGUGACCAUGUUAUCAGCAAGCUCACAGACUUUCUGAGAUUUUAAGAACUGGCUCUAAACUGGCUCUCUGACCCAAAAACAAAACCCAAAAACACAUAAGCAUCCUUAAAAGCUGUGGCCAGUUUGGGUGUUGCUAGCUUUAUAAGAGGAUUUAAUGAGUCUCUAAAAGGAACUAACAUCUCUAUUAUAAAAGCUAAGCUAAUUUUGUUCUUCGAUUUGUCUUUGCCAGACUGAGGGAAAGCAGAAUUGUUAACUGUAGUCCUCAGACUGUGUUCUUUGCUUUAGCUGCAAUCCCCGGUGGGGCUCAGUCCUCUUUGGAACAUUGUGUCCAGUACCUAAGUGUGAGCUCACAGGAAACGACACUGGUCUGAUUCCUAACAUGCUCAAAGCUCCAGUCUGACUAGGAAACAGAUCUUCUUGCUUGAAUACACCGUGGAAGAAGAGUUUGGAGCCGAGCCAGGCCCUACCUGAGAUGCUUGAUCUUAAGUUGCCAGUUUGAUUGGAUCUGGGAUCAACUAAGAGACACACCUCUGGGCAGGGCUGUGCUAGCAUUUCAUGGAAGGAUUAGCAGAAGCUUAGCCCAGAGUUCUCAGCACUUCUCAGCAGCAGUGUGGGGAGGUUCUGUGAUGCUUUCGCCUGUCCACCUUUGUAGGUGAGUGGAUCCACCCUGUUGCAGCUGCCCCUGGCUGCCCCAUCCUUCACUGGCAAAGCAACAAAGCUUCUCCUGCCUUGCAACAUGGACUGAAGACCAGUGGUUCUCUAGGAACUUUCCAGGCCUUCACUGAUUGUACUGCUGAGGUACCCAGCCUCCUGGACGGGGCAACGCUUCCCUGUACAGGCAGCCACUGCCUGACUACCCAGCCUGCAUCUGUAAGCGGAGCUAAGAGGUCCCCUUUACAAUAGAUAUCUGCUCUCCUCUAGGCUGACUCCCUGCCUUAUUUAUUGCCUUUGGUGUGGCAACGAAACUGUCUGAGGCCUCCAGACAGUCUAGUCUGCCAAUUGUUCUCAAAAUGGAAGGGAACAGAACACAUAAUAAUUCAGAGUACAGUAAGACCCGAACUACAAAGGACAGAGAGCAGUGACUAAAAUAACCCCAAAUCACUUUCACUGUCAACAGACCAAACAGGACCUAAUCUAAUGGAAAUUAAAAAAAAAAAAGUUCCAAGACACAAAUAGAAAAUAAUCCAUAAUAGUGUAGAAUUUACCCCAAUGGGGAUUUCUACAAACACAAAAUACUCAUGAGUAUGACAAAGGCUUUCCUCCUUUUCUAUUUUAUAGUAUUUAUGACAUUUCCUACACAGCUGCCUCCAUACCGGCCUUUACCAGUGGCCUGAACUCCAAGCAUCCUGAAAGUAGAUGUGUAGGUGGUGCGUUUACAAUGGGACUUGGUGAAUUCACAAAGGAGCAAAAAUUGCAAGCCUUCCCAGUGUACAGUGCGGUCUCUGUAGCCAGGGGAUAAAGAACUUCAACUCUUUAUCACAACCUGGGAAAGCCACUUCCUUCCUUUAGAAGAAGGCUCAGGCCAUGAUAAAGAAACGUGUGGGGCACAAGGAGCCGCGUGUAGUGAGCCAGGCCUUUCUCUAACCAGCAUCCACAAACGUGGUGCACAUCUACCUGACUCCUUAAACCAGAACCCUGCUGGUCCAGGGAGAAGCCCAAACGCUCACUUUCCUCCACUGCAGCUUCCCAAAACUCAGAAAAUACCCUGCAAUAAUUUUAUCAGGCAGUAGAUUUUCCAAGGUGUGCACGUCCUAUGAAAGCUAAGUAGGGGAAAAGCGUGAGCAGACUUGUCAUGGGUUGCUAGGGAGAUGGCUCAGUGGUAAGAGUUUCCUGGGAACACUAGAGGACGUGAGUUCAAAUCUCCACCACCCAUAUGAGAAACCAGACAUAGCCUCAGCUACCUAUAACUCCAGUGCUAGCAGAGGACGUGGUAGAGAGAAGGGAAGAUUCAAAUUACUCACCAGCCUGCCAACAUAGCCAAAACAGCCAGCGACGCACGCACGCACGCACGCUCGCGCAUGGGCAUGUACCACCUCCCUGCCCCGUAUGCUAAAAAAGUCAUCACGGGGGGAAACCCCUUCAAAAUGUAGACAUGAUACAGAAUUCAUAAACAUUGGAAAGGACUUGAUCUCCAGUGUAAACUACAGCAAUCCUUGGAAAUAUUUGGAGACGGGAGGAAACUCGGAUGUCCUCAUGGACCACCUAUAUGGAGCCUAACUUAGAAACUUUAAACCCAAACCAUUUGCCAAGCAGGACUGUAAUACAGCUCCGAAGCUAUUUCAAUUCCUAGAACUCCAUUCAUCUCAACUACAAACUAUCUCCAGCAAGUAAAUGCUGGGGCGGGCAGAGGACAUCUAAAGCAGAGGCUCUGGGCUGUGUUCCUCCAAGGUUCAACCCAUUAGGCAGUGGCACUAUUAGGUAUGGGUUUCAGAAUCAUCCUGUUGCCAACAGAGGCCUACGAUUGGUGAUCACCUCACAAGCAGCAGUUGGGGGCAGAAGAUCUGCUUCCAGAGAUGGUCAUACAGAAUGCCCACAAAAUGUACAUUCGUAAAAAUAAAGGAGGGGAAAGACUAUGAGGAAGAAUGAAGGGGGGAGGAGGGGGG
rnacentral:sRNA from 1 species